GGCGCCGGCAGGCGGAGCAGUGGGAGGAGCCUGGGCGAGGGCUGGAGGACCCGGGUGCGAACCGGUGAUACGAGAGGCAGGGCAAGGUGUCAACAUGGAAGAGCCGGGAUGGGAAGACAUCUACUUUUAUAUUAACAAUUUAGCGAACCACAUCUGUUGAGCCUCUGUGAGACCUCAGCGACUCUAUUGAAUAAUAAGCUGGACAGCAGUUUAGUGCUUAGAGGGUCUUUUUGGGGCCAACUCUCACUGCUGAAAAUCCUGCGUAUGAUGCUGCCACGAAGAAUGAGUUCUCCUUCUGAUCUUUCUCACGAAGCUAAUCUCAUUGGGUCUGCUUGUGAAAAGAAUGCAGACACAGCAGCACAUACUAAGCUGAGGGCUCCCCUCCAUCCUCUGGUUUCAAACACAUGUGGCCCACCACGGCAGGCACCAGAUGAGCUAACCCUAAAUGAAGAAAACUGCUGAGAGGUGAGGUGCAGGAUCUGGCACACAGACCCUAAAGAACCAGAUUUUGAUUUUAAACACACUGAAAUUUGUAGUCAGUUUUGUUCCCAUCUUCUUUGAUCCCCAGGAAACUCAGAUCCAAACUCAGAAAUUCAAGAAUUUCUGACAGACAUUUCUGCAUAACUAACUUUAUCCUUGUCUUUAUCGACUAUUCCGCCUUUAUUUUCCUUUUGCCCUAUCUCUGUUUGUUUGUUUUCAGUUUGAUAUAUUGUGUGUAUUUGUAUGAAGCCAACUCAAAUCCUUUUGGGAGUAAGGUGGGGGAAAUAAAUAAGUAAAGCCUC
rnacentral:lncRNA from 1 species